rnacentral:lncRNA from 1 species
AAGACUUUGUACAAUUUAUUUAUGAAACUAUGUACAAGUUAUUAAUCAAUGGUAGUUCAAAAACUCUGAAAGGUUUCAAGAAUUCUUGGUGCAUACAAAAGUGUUUAGUCUUAACCAUUACAAAAAGGCUUUGAAACCAUUACAUUUGCAAAAUGCUACAGCCAUUACAUAAGCCUAUCAUCUCACUAAAUUGUCAUUCUACUAGGUACACAUUACUUAACUGUCAAACAUACCACAUUGCCUAACUUUCAAAAUAUACCACAUUGCCUAACUUACAUUUCACAACAUUACCGAACCAAACUAUAAACACAAAGGCCCAAGAAAUAAACAGAGCAAUCCAUAACUUCUUCUCUCUUGCUCUUGCACGCCCAAUCUGAUCUUCAAGUUCUCUUAUUUUCCUCAGCAUCCAAGCCAUCAGAGCUCUCUCACGAGGAAGCAUUCAAUAUCAACCUAUACAAAAAACAAAAAACAAAAAACAAAAAAAACCACAAUUGUUUUUCCCCCUCUGCAUCCAAACAAAAGUUCCAUCUCAUUCUCAUAAUUUAUUGUCCAAAUUUCGAUAAAAUAGCAAAUUCAAAACCUACCACUAACUUUGGACACACUAAGAACCUCCGAAGUGGGUUAAGCUCUGUCCAAGAAGUCUGUAGCCUAGCAAGCUUCCCACAGUAGCAAUAAGGUGCAGCAACGGCCAAGUCUUCUCCUCGUGGAGUAUCUUUCCUCAUCUUCACACCUUUUAAUCGAAGAAAGAUUGAGAAAUAUUUCUUUAGGUAUAGUUAUUUAAAUCCUUGAAAUGGUGGUAAGUAAUUUUUCU